CUGUCUGUCUGUCUGUGUGUGUGUCUGUCUCUGUUGAUCUAUCCAUCAUUCUAUCUUUUGAUCGUUCUGACAUUCUCUCUGCUUCAUCCAGUUUUUCCCCAGUGUUGGCACGCUGCUGCAGUUCUGGCUUUAAUCUCGGCUGAUUUCAGGUUGAAUCCACUCUCACAUCCUCUGAUCUGUGCGAGCCGUCACACUGGCAGAUGUUCAGCUGGACCUUCACUGACCUCCGCAGCUGGAGCAUCACCUCACCUGUGCUGUCCAUCCCGAGAGCGAUCCCCUCCCAGAAGACCGAGAAGAUGGAGUUGUGAUCAUCCACAGGUUCCGGUUCCCGUCAUCAUUAGCAGGUCUGUGUCAGCCAGCGGCCCAGAGGGAGUUCAGAGAGGACCUGAGUUGUGAGAUGAGGUGAAAGCCGCCCAUAUUCCCACAGUGACGGAGCGGCAAUUACCCCAAACUGUGACUGCGUCCUCCUACCGGCCACAGGAACAAUGGACUGUCUGUCAGCGUUGGUGUUGCCCAAGCAUAACAGAUGUGUGUGGACACACUAGACAAUGGCGUGGCUGGAUAAGUGGGUUCCUGAUCUCAGAGGCGGAGGCGGGGGGGAGGACGGCAGCUUGUGUCCGAGACCAGGGAGAACUCCACAGGACCAGCACAGAGCCGGAUCCGAACAGCAUGGCGGCGUGUCGUAGAGCAUGUUGGAAUGGCGUGUGAGGACAUGUUGGUGAAGAAGGCAGCUGGAGGAGAAACCAUCAGAUAUCCUGAGUGCUGUUUCUCCCGGUUUGAUGAAUUGUCUUGUCUUUCUUCUAGCGAGAGCUGAGCGCAGAGAUCUCCACACACUCCGUGCUCUGGGGGUCAUCCGAGGUCAUCACACAUCUGAGGUCACACUGAAGGUUUCCUGAACACUUUCCCCUCGGUGAAGAAACCGAUAACCCCGCCUAAUCUCACACCAGUGGUUGAGGAUGGUAUGUGCACAUCUGCUGAAUCACUGUGGUCCAUUGGGCGUUGGGCCGACGUGGGACCAUGUGGUGCGGUGGCAGAGACGGUCCCCUGAGCUUUCAGCGACAGGCCUGGGCUGCUGACAUCACAGACCCACCUCUACAUCCACUGA